AGUGGCGGACGGGUGAGGAACACGUAAGAACCUACCCCUAGGAGGGGGACAACAACUGGAAACGGUUGCUAAUACCCCAUAAGCUGAGGAGUGAAACGGUUAAAACCGCCUAGGAACGGGCUUGCGUCGGAUUAGCUAGUUGGUGAGGUAAAGGCUCACCAAGGCGACGAUCCGUAGCUGGUCUGAGAGGAUGAUCAGCCACACUGGGACUGAGACACGGCCCAGACUCCUACGGGAGGCAGCAGUGGGGAAUUUUCCGCAAUGGGCGAAAGCCUGACGGAGCAACGCCGCGUGCGGGAAGACGGCCUGUGGGUUGUAAACCGCUCUUCUCUGGGAAGAAUAAGUUGACGGUACCAGAGGAAUCAGCAUCGGCUAACUCCGUGCCAGCAGCCGCGGUAAUACGGAGGAUGCAAGCGUUAUCCGGAAUUAUUGGGCGUAAAGCGUCCGCAGGCGGCUUAUCAAGUCUGCUGUUAAAGGUCGGGGCUCAACUCCGGUUAGGCAGUGGAAACUGAUAGGCUAGAGUGUGGUAGGGGUAGAGGGAAUUCCCAGUGUAGCGGUGAAGUGCGUAGAUAUUGGGAAGAACACCAGUGGCGAAGGCGCUCUACUUGGCCACAACUGACGCUGAGGGACGAAAGCUAGGGGAGCGAAAGGGAUUAGAUACCCCUGUAGUCCUAGCUGUAAACGAUGGACACUAGGUGUUG
rnacentral:rRNA from 1 species